rnacentral:rRNA from 1 species
UUGCCUACGGGACGCAGCAGUGAGGAAUAUUGGUCAAUGGGCGAGAGCCUGAACCAGCCAAGUCGCGUGAGGGAAGACGGUCCUAUGGAUUGUAAACCUCUUUUGCCGGGGAGCAAAAAGCGGUACGUGUACCGCAUCGAGAGUACCCGGAGAAAAAGCAUCGGCUAACUCCGUGCCAGCAGCCGCGGUAAUACGGAGGAUGCGAGCGUUAUCCGGAUUUAUUGGGUUUAAAGGGUGCGCAGGCGGAAGAUCAAGUCAGCGGUAAAAUUGAGAGGCUCAACCUCUUCGAGCCGUUGAAACUGGUU